GGUCGUGAAGGGUGUUCUUGAAUGGAGUUGGAGAACCUUUAGUAGUUAGGGAGUUUAGGACUAGUGAGGGUCAAGAAGUUGAGGGACCUCACAGAUCUUCAAUUUGGGGUUCUACUAAAUUCUCUACUUAUGGUGGCAUUAUGACUCUUGAAAUCACAUCCCUCAAUUUAGUCAAAAAGAGAAGACAGAAACAACUAGCACGAUAGAGGAAAGCUAUCAAAAUCGAGGAAAUCUCAAAAGACGGCUAGGGAGUUGGCUCAAGGGGCUUGAGGAAAGAUGCAAGAGUGUAAGGACAUGGUAGUAAUAUUUAGAAUUCUAAUAGCACUGGUGGCUCGCCCAAAGCCACUCAACAGCCAUGAGUUGGAUAAGUUGGAAUUAUCAAGGUAUUGGGUCUCACCUUAUAGUUCAUACUCUUAAAGUGCUAUUGUACUCUUGAAGAGCAAAGGUAUUUUUUGAUGGAAACUAAGAAUCAACAAUUUUAUUUGGAAAAGCUCGGACAGAGACUGAAGAUCAAUUUUACUUUCUACGUGAAUCCAAUUAGUAGUUUUGGGGGGACUUGGCUUAUGGUGGAAUGAGAACAUAUCCAUUCAGGUACUUAGUUAUUCUUCUAAUUUUAUUCAUGAUUCCUGUGAUGGUGGGAAUGAUUACGUUUUUUAUGCAACCUUUAUGUAUGGUAGUCCAUAAAGCGGUCUCGGGCUUGGAGUAUUUAAUAGACUGUCUAAGUCCUAAUUUUAACUGCUAUUGGGUGUGCUUAGGUGAUUUUAAUGUUGUGUUAUUUGACUAUGAAAUAUCAAGGGGUUUAUAGGGUUUAUUAGAAUAAAAGAUG
rnacentral:lncRNA from 1 species